rnacentral:rRNA from 1 species
AACGCGAAGAACCUUACCUACCCUUGACAUGCCAAGAACCCUGCAGAGAUGUGGGGGUGCCUGAAAGGGAGCUUGGACACAGGUGCUGCAUGGCUGUCGUCAGCUCGUGUCGUGAGAUGUUGGGUUAAGUCCCGCAACGAGCGCAACCCUUGCCAUUAGUUGCCACAUUAAGUUGGGCACUCUAAUGGGACUGCCGGUGACAAACCGGAGGAAGGUGGGGAUGACGUCAAGUCCUCAUGGCCCUUAUGGGUAGGGCUUCACACGUCAUACAAUGGUCGGUACAGAGGGUUGCCAACCCGCGAGGGGGAGCCAAUCUCAGAAAGCCGAUCGUAGUCCGGAUUGUAGUCUGCAACUCGACUGCAUGAAGUCGGAAUCGCUAGUAAUCGCGGAUCAGCAUGUCGCGGUGAAUACGUUCCCGGGCCUUGUACACACCGCUAGUC